rnacentral:misc_RNA from 1 species
GAUGAAGAACGCAGCGAAAUGCGAUAAGUAAUGUGAAUUGCAGAAUUCAGUGAAUCAUCGAAUCUUUGAACGCACAUUGCGCCCGCCAGUAUUCUGGCGAGCAUGCCUGUUCGAGCGUCAUUUCAACCAUCAAGCCCCAGGCUUGUGUUGGAGCCUUGCGGCUGCCGCAGCCUCCCAAAACCAGUGGCGGGCUCGCUAUCACACCGAGUGCAGUAGUUUACUCUUCGCUCAGGGCGUGUGGCGGGUGCUAGCCGUGAAACCCCCAACUUCUCAAGGUUGACCUCGGAUCAGGUAGGAAUACCCGCUGAACUUAAGCAUAUCAAUAAGCGGAGGA